CUCCACACCAGCCUCCCCCCUCCUCCCCACACCCCAGCAUCUCCCACAGGCUCCUAUUUUCCCUUCCUCUAGAUGGCAUCCGGUGGAGUAGGUCCUACACAGCAAUCAAUAAUGAGGGAAGGCUCAGAGAAGGUUUUAGGACACCCAGCUCUGUCCCGAGGAAGGUAGCUCUGUGCUGAACACCAGGAGUGAACGCAAAUCAAAAUCAGUUUCCUCUCAGACACCUCCUAGACAAGAAUGGAAGGAGUUAGGGAACCGAGGCUCGGCAAGCUUGCGAACUGGCCCGGGGCUUCAGCAAGCAUGUCACCGGUGGAUGGGGGCUUCCUGAGGCAGAGGCUGUGCUGGCGUUGGAGCUGCUCGCACCAGUGCAAACAAGGCAACAGGAAGGCAGUUGGGAGCCAUGGAGGAUUCCAACCAUUGGCAGGCCUCAGGCACCAAGAGCAGCUGGAGAAGAGCUGAGUUCCCCUGGCAGCGGGGCAGAGACUCUGACUAGCAAAGAAGGGGUGAUCUCAUCCCCUCUCCUUCCUCUCCUUCCUCCCCUGUCCUGGGGCUGGCAGCUCCCCGUGAAGCCACUACGCACAUCCUUCAGCAUGACAUUGGAACAUCACCGGGGGAGUGGAGGGUAACGGAGCACCAUCCCAGGCGGUAAUGGCUCCAACGCCUAGAGGAAAAUGACAUAAAUAAUGUCCCAUUAGAGGCGCCGAGCUGCUCUGCCGAGUGCCUUGUUUUGCCCGCGACAUGAUGGUCUUCAUAAACAGACUCAUUUGUUUUCCAGCCCUUGUUUGGGCGAGGUGGGGGUGGGGUGCCGAGGAAGGUGACCCGGCAUCGAGGGCAGCAAUGGGGACCUAAUUGCUGCCCAGACUGCGGCCUGGUGCCGGCGCCCACCAUCCAUCUGCUCAGUCUUCGGAAAC
rnacentral:lncRNA from 1 species